UGCAGCUCAGUGGUAGAGAACUUGCCUAACAACCAAGAGGCCCUGGGUUUGAUCCCCAGCA
rnacentral:tRNA from 1 species